rnacentral:rRNA from 1 species
CGGACGGGUGAGUAACGCGUAGGAAAACCUGCCGUAUACGUGGGGGAAUAACACUUAAGAAAUAGGUGCUAAUACCGCAUAAGCGCACAGCUUCGCAUGAAGGCGGUGUAGAAAACUCGUGGUGGUAUACGAUUGGUUCCGCGUCUGAUUAGCUAGGUUGGUGGGGUAAUGGCCUACCAAGGCAACGAUCAGUAGCCGGCCUGAGAGGGUGAACGGCCACAUUGGGACUGAGACACGGCCCAAACUCCUACGGGAGGCAGCAG